AGGGAUGUUAAUAUGGGUUUUGUUCUGUAGGGUUAGCCCAGCCCGCAUCCAUUUUUUUAACCCGAAGCCCGUUACAUUUUAUGUGGGUUAAAAUAGGGCCGUCUAAUAUAACACACGGGCUAACUCUAAAACCUUUUUUUUUAUGAAAACAAAUCACUGAAAGGCGUUGUUUUAAUUUUUUUUCUCCAGUUCUUCAUCUUUCCUCGACGAUUCUAAAUCGAGAGUUCCGCUUCAUGUGAUUUCAUUUCUUCUCCAGUUCUCCAUUGCCUGAUUGUAAUCCGGAGACACGAUUUCGUCUCCAGUUCUCCAGUCAUCGCCCUCCUCUCUCGCGAUCCUCUGUGUUGUGUCCGUCGAGCAAUCUCUUCUUCUCCUUGACAUCGGUGAGAAAAUCGAUAUAGGGUUUGUGGGUUUGUUGAAAUCGAUCUCCAGGGUUUGUGGGUCUGUUGAAAUCGAUCUCUAAGGUUUGAUUAUGUUUAGAGUUUGAGACUGAUGUAUAUGUUUGAGUUUAGUCUUGUAGCAACGAGUGUUGUAUGUUGAUGUGUAUGUUUGAGUUCAGUUGAUGGAAGCUUUGUUUAGCUAUGUCUAAGCUAUGUGAUAAUGAAUUGCUUUAGUCUUAGUUUAGGUUUGUUCUGUGACUAGCUUGUAACUUGUAGUCUGCUUUGUAACUUGUAGUCUGCUUUACAUGAUAGCUUGCGUAGAGUUCCAAGAUAGCUUGUGUGUGUUCUGUAAACAAGUUUGUGAAGUUCAGUGAAGGAAACACAUUACAUGUUUAGAUCCUUUCCUGAGACAUGAAUGUUACAUAGUAGCAGCAGCCAUGAUAAUAUUAUAUGAGUGUAUAUUACAUAGUAGCAGCAGCCAUGUUCAGCUUUAGCUCUUGUAAACUGUAUGAGCUAACUGUUUUGUUAUCUUUUGUUACAGUAUAGAGUUCACAGCUUUGCUUAUUUGAUGCUGUUUGAUUGCUUGUAUGAUGUUUGUUUGACAGCUUUACAUGACUGCCAUCUCUCUUGUUUUUGCAGAGUGGAGUCACGUAGCCAAGUUUGGAGCUUGGAGGAUACAUGUAAUUUUAAAGUCUUCACGAGACUUGUAGUGAAUUAUAUGAAUAAAAAUAUUUAAACUUUUUUUUUUUUUUUUUUGAAUUUGGAGACAAAAAUGAAUUAACACUUUUUCUAUUUAUAUAAUAAUAUCUUGAGUUUUUAAAUAUAUCUUGUCUUUCAUAAAAAUUAAUGGGCUAACCCUGUACCAGCCCUAACCCUGUAACUAAAACAGGGUUAAAAAAAAAAAAGUUAUACGUAAAAAUAAUAUUAAAAUUAGAGAUCCAAAAAAAGUUAAAAAAGAACCCAAAAAAAAGUUAAAAAGAAAGAAAGAUAUAACCACACGGUGUUGACAAAAAAAACCACACGGUAUGACGUUAGUCUCCGACAAGCUUUUUUUUAAUCACUACCUACAAGUUGGCCAAACAUCAACCUUUUUUAUUUUAUCACUACUUUUCUUACCCUAAGUUUUCAUUUUUGAAAAGAUAUCUAAAUAUGUAUAGAAGAUACGAUAUGUUUCCUGAUUAAUCGGAACAUGCAUGAAAGAAGAAAAUAUCAAAUCAAAUAGUACGUAACGCUUUACGAAACUGUGGAGCAAACUGAGUCAUGCAGAAGGGGACGUUGUGUGUUGGGUAGGGAUGUUAAUAUGGGUUUUGUUCUGUAGGGUUAGCCCAGCCCGCAUCCAUUUUUUUAACCCGAAGCCCGUUACAUUUUAUGUGGGUUAAAAUAGGGCCGUCUAAUAUAACACACGGGCUAACUCUAAAACCUUUUUUUUUAUGAAAACAAAUCACUGAAAGGCGUUGUUUUAAUUUUUUUUCUCCAGUUCUUCAUCUUUCCUCGACGAUUCUAAAUCGAGAGUUCCGCUUCAUGUGAUUUCAUUUCUUCUCCAGUUCUCCAUUGCCUGAUUGUAAUCCGGAGACACGAUUUCGUCUCCAGUUCUCCAGUCAUCGCCCUCCUCUCUCGCGAUCCUCUGUGUUGUGUCCGUCGAGCAAUCUCUUCUUCUCCUUGACAUCGGUGAGAAAAUCGAUAUAGGGUUUGUGGGUUUGUUGAAAUCGAUCUCCAGGGUUUGUUGGUCUGUUGAAAUCGAUCUCUAAGGUUUGGUUAUGUUUAGAGUUUGAGACUGAUGUAUAUGUUUGAGUUUAGUCUUGUAGCAACGAGUGUUGUAUGUUGAUGUGUAUGUUUGAGUUCAGUUGAUGGAAGCUUUGUUUAUCUCUGUCUAAGCUAUGUGAUAAUGAAUUGGUUUAGUCUUAGUUUAGGUUUGUUCUGUGACUAGCUUGUAACUUCUAGUCUGCUUUACAUGAUAGCUUGCGUAGAGUUCCAAGAUAGCUUGUGUGUGUUCUGUAAACAAGUUUGUGAAGUUCAGUGAAGGAAACACAUUACAUGUUUAGAUCCUUUCCUUUCAAGUAUUGUGUCUGUACGAAUAUUUCCUGAGACAUGAAUGUUACAUAGUAGCAGCAGCCAUGAUAAUAUUAUAUGAGUGUAUAUUACAUAGUAGCAGCAGCCAUGUUCAGCUUUAGCUCUUGUAAACUGUAUGAGCUAACUGUUUUGUUAUCUUUUAUUACAGUAUAGAGUUCACAGAUUUGCUUAUUUGAUGCUGUUGCUUUACUUAUUUGAUGCUGUUUGAUUGCUUGUAUGAUGUUUGUUUGACAGCUUUACAUGACUGCCAUCUCUCUUGUUUUUGCAGAGUGGAGUCACGUAGCCAAGUUUGGAGCUUGGAGGAUACAUGUAAUUUUAAAGUCUUCACGAGACUUGUAGUGAAUUAUAUGAAUAAAAAUAUUUAAACUUUUUUUUUUUUUUUUG
rnacentral:lncRNA from 1 species